ACAGACAGGAGAGAGUAACAAUCAUUUUAUUUUUAAAAAUGACAGAACUUGCCUACAGCUGAGGUUACAGAGAGAACUGCAGGAUAAUAUGAGGCUGGAGCUGGAUGAACAACAAAAGAAGAAAAAUCGCUACAAAUAUAUAUUGUCAAUAUAUUACUCUGUACUAAAAGUUUAUUUUACUGUGAAAUGUCUUUGCGUGUGUGUGUGUGUGUGUGUGUGUAUGUGUGUGUGUGUGUCUGUGUAUUACCUGGACACCCCCCUUGCAGGCCCCCUCGAUCUGGUGAUAGUCGUCCUCGGAGCAGCGUGGACAGGCGCUGGCGCUCUCCCACAGGAAGUGAAACGUACAACCGUCACAUGUUCCUGCAGGACAGGUGCUGAACAAACACACAGGUCCACAGGCGACACACGCGUCCUGGCCGUAGGUGUGGCGCCCCGCCAGGUGCGUGUUGGGCGGGCACUCCUGGCAUCGGUUGGUGUCUCUGUCGAUGAAGAACCCGGCGGGGCAGGGAACGCAGGAGGAGCCGGCC